rnacentral:sRNA from 1 species
GCGGAGGAAAAGAAACCAACAGGGAUUGCCCCAGUAACGGCGAGUGAAGCGGCAACAGCUCAAAUUUGAAAUCUGGUCCCCUUGCGGGGCCCGAGUUGUAAUUUGAAGAGGAUGCUUCUGGCAAGGUGCCUUCCGAGUUCCCUGGAACGGGACGCCGCAGAGGGUGAGAGCCCCGUACGGUAGGACGCCGAGCCUCUGUGAAGCUCCUUCGACGAGUCGAGUAGUUUGGGAAUGCUGCUCAAAAUGGGAGGUAAACCCCUUCUAAAGCUAAAUACCGGCCAGAGACCGAUAGCGCACAAGUAGAGUGAUCGAAAGAUGAAAAGCACUUUGAAAAGAGAGUUAAAAAGCACGUGAAAUUGUUGAAAGGGAAGCGCUUGCGACCAGACUCGCGCCCGUCGGAUCAGCCGUCGCUUGUCGGCGGCGCACUCCGGCGGGCUCGGGCCAGCAUCAGUUCGCCUCGGGGGGAGAAAGGCGGCAGGAAUGUGGCUCCUCGGAGUGUUAUAGCCUGCCGUGUAAUACCCCCGGGCGGACUGAGGACCG